UCUCCGUAGGUGAACCUGCGGAGGGAUCAUUACUGAGUGAGGGCUCACGCCCGACCUCCAACCCUGUGUGAACACAUCUUGUUGCUUCGGGGGCGACCCUGCCGGCACUCUGUCGCCGGGCGCCCCCGGAGGCCAUUAAACACUGCAUCAUUGCGUCGGAGUUAAAGUAAAUUAAACAAAACUUUCAACAACGGAUCUCUUGGUUCCAGCAUCGAUGAAGAACGCAGC
rnacentral:misc_RNA from 1 species